AUUGAACGCUGGCGGCAUGCUUUACACAUGCAAGUCGAACGGCAACAGGCCGCAAGGUGCUGACGAGUGGCGAACGGGUGAGUAACGCAUCGGAACGUGCCCAGUCGUGGGGGAUAACGCAGCGAAAGCUGCGCUAAUACCGCAUACGAUCUCUGGAUGAAAGCGGGGGACCGAAAGGCCUCGCGCGAUUGGAGCGGCCGAUGUCAGAUUAGGUAGUUGGUGGGGUAAAGGCCCACCAAGCCAACGAUCUGUAGCUGGUCUGAGAGGACGACCAGCCAAACUGGGACUGAGACACGGCCGAGACUCCGACGGGAGGCAGCAGUGGGGAAUUUUGGACAAUGGGCGCAAGCCUGAUCCAGCAAUGCCGGGUGCAGGAAGAAGGCCUUCGGGUUGUAAACUGCUUUUGUACGGAACGAAACGGUCCGGGUUAAUACCCUGGGCUAAUGACGGUACCGUAAGAAUAAGCACCGGCUAACUACGUGCCAGCCGCCGCCGUAAGAC
rnacentral:rRNA from 1 species